CUAAUACUUUCUUCGUUCGAAAAUACUUGUCCUAUAAAUAAAUGUAUCUAGACUUAUUUUAGUUAUAGAUACAUUCAUUUUAAUUAUUUUUAGGACAAGUAAUUUUAAACGGAGGGAGUAGUAG
rfam:Hordeum vulgare subsp. vulgare, WGS project CAJW01000000 data, contig: morex_contig_1567491